UCAAAAUCUAUGUGUCCCUACGGAAAUAUUGCGUUUUUGGUAAAUGGUUUAUAUACUAAAGCUUAGUGUUGUUUUAAAUUUCUAAACAAAUUUUAUAUUUAUAUUAAUGUAUAUUAAACUCUAUUUCAUGGAACAUGGGCAUCAUUUUAAUUUUUUAUCAAUUAAUUUAGUAAAACUUCAUAAUACUCCCUAAAUUUGUAGAUUAACCACGAUAGAAUCGCUAUUCUCUACACAAACGGAGAGAACAAAGGUUCCAAACCUCUUUGACAUUCAUCAUAUGUUUGUGCAGGAUGCAACUAUGCAUUAAAACAAUAUUUUCAUAUUGUUUGAAAUUUUCUCAAAAUCCAUGUGCUAACCCCUACGAAAAUAUUGAGUUUUUCGAUAAAUGGUAUAUAUAUUGAAGCCUAUGAUCUUUAGUGUUGUUUUAAAUUUUCUAAACACAUUUUAUAUUUGUAUUAAUGUAUAUUAAACUCUCUUUCAUGGUGCAUGAGCAUUGUUUUAAUUUUUUAUCAAUUAAUUUAGUAAAACUUCAUAAUACACCCUAAGCUUGUAGAUUAACCACAAUAAAAUCGCUAUUUUUUAGAGAAACAGAGACAACAAAGAUUCCAAACCUCUUUGACAUUUAUCAUAUGUGUGCGCUGGAUGCAACUAUGAAUUAAGACAAUAUUUUCAUAUUUUUUGAAUUUUUCUCAAAAUCUAUGUGUAACCCCUACGAAAAUAUUGAGUUUUCAGUAAAUGGUCUAUAUACUAAUGCUUAUGAUCUUUAAUGUUGUUUUAAAUUUCUAAACAUAUUUUAUAUUUGUAUUAAUGUAUAUUAAACUCUAUUUCAUGGAACAU